AGAUGAGAAGCUUGCUUCUCUGAUGUUAGCGGCGGACGGGUGAGUAACACGUGGGUAACCUACCUAUAAGACUGGGAUAACUCCGGGAAACCGGGGCUAAUACCGGAUAAUAUUUUGAACCGCAUGGUUCAAUAGUGAAAGACGGUUUCGGCUGUCACUUAUAGAUGGACCCGCGCCGUAUUAGCUAGUUGGUAAGGUAACGGCUUACCAAGGCGACGAUACGUAGCCGACCUGAGAGGGUGAUCGGCCACACUGGAACUGAGACACGGUCCAGACUCCUACGGGAGGCAGCAGUAGGGAAUCUUCCGCAAUGGGCGAAAGCCUGACGGAGCAACGCCGCGUGAGUGAUGAAGGUCUUCGGAUCGUAAAACUCUGUUGUUAGGGAAGAACAAAUUUGUUAGUAACUGAACAAGUCUUGACGGUACCUAACCAGAAAGCCACGGCUAACUACGUGCCAGCAGCCGCGGUAAUACGUAGGUGGCAAGCGUUAUCCGGAAUUAUUGGGCGUAAAGCGCGCGUAGGCGGUUUCUUAAGUCUGAUGUGAAAGCCCACGGCUCAACCGUGGAGGGUCAUUGGAAACUGGGAAACUUGAGUGCAGAAGAGGAGAGUGGAAUUCCAUGUGUAGCGGUGAAAUGCGCAGAGAUAUGGAGGAACACCAGUGGCGAAGGCGGCUCUCUGGUCUGUAACUGACGCUGAUGUGCGAAAGCGUGGGGAUCAAACAGGAUUAGAUACCCUGGUAGUCCACGCCGUAAACGAUGAGUGCUAAGUGUUAGGGGGUUUCCGCCCCUUAGUGCUGCAGCUAACGCAUUAAGCACUCCGCCUGGGGAGUACGACCGCAAGGUUGAAACUCAAAGGAAUUGACGGGGACCCGCACAAGCGGUGGAGCAUGUGGUUUAAUUCGAAGCAACGCGAAGAACCUUACCAAAUCUUGACAUCCUUUGACCGCUCUAGAGAUAGAGUCUUCCCCUUCGGGGGACAAAGUGACAGGUGGUGCAUGGUUGUCGUCAGCUCGUGUCGUGAGAUGUUGGGUUAAGUCCCGCAACGAGCGCAACCCUUAAGCUUAGUUGCCAUCAUUAAGUUGGGCACUCUAGGUUGACUGCCGGUGACAAACCGGAGGAAGGUGGGGAUGACGUCAAAUCAUCAUGCCCCUUAUGAUUUGGGCUACACACGUGCUACAAUGGAUAAUACAAAGGGCAGCGAAUCCGCGAGGCCAAGCAAAUCCCAUAAAAUUAUUCUCAGUUCGGAUUGUAGUCUGCAACUCGACUACAUGAAGCUGGAAUCGCUAGUAAUCGUAGAUCAGCAUGCUACGGUGAAUACGUUCCCGGGUCUUGUACACACCGCCCGUCACACCACGAGAGUUUGUAACACCCGAAGCCGGUGGAGUAACCUCUAGGAGCUAGCCGUCG
rnacentral:rRNA from 1 species